rnacentral:rRNA from 1 species
CCUACGGGCGGCAGCAGCGGGGAAUAUUGCACAAUGGGCGCAAGCCUGAUGCAGCCAUGCCGCGUGUGUGAAGAAGGCCUUCGGGUUGUAAAGCACUUUCAGCGGGGAGGAAGGCGGUGAGGUUAAUAACCUCAUCGAUUGACGUUACCCGCAGAAGAAGCACCGGCUAACUCCGUGCCAGCAGCCGCGGUAAUACGGAGGGUGCAAGCGUUAAUCGGAAUUACUGGGCGUAAAGCGCACGCAGGCGGUCUGUCAAGUCGGAUGUGAAAUCCCCGGGCUCAACCUGGGAACUGCAUUCGAAACUGGCAGGCUAGAGUCUUGUAGAGGGGGGUAGAAUUCCAGGUGUAGCGGUGAAAUGCGUAGAGAUCUGGAGGAAUACCGGUGGCGAAGGCGGCCCCCUGGACAAAGACUGACGCUCAGGUGCGAAAGCGUGGGGAGCAAACAGGAUUAGAUACCCGAGUAGUC